UACUUUUCGUGUUCCGAGCAAGAAUGAGGGUAAACGUACAGUUGUACACUCACUCAGUUACUAAAAUUAUACUUACCAUUUGCUUAUAUAUCUCAUAUUAUAUAUAAGCCGUUUAUAUUCUCAGUUGAAAGCACGUCUUCUUCAUACAGUGGCCAGUUUUAGAGGAUAUGACACGACACACGCGUCUGUUUUGAAUGCUUGAAAGACACCAUCAAGGUGCCAUUUCACUCUUGUUCACACAUCUUUUGCACUGGUGAUGAACACUUACAGGAAGUGAAGAAAACAUUGUCGCUAGGAAAUACUUACAUGCUUACGUAUAAGCAUGCUAAUAGCAAAAUUAUUGUUGAGUAUUUGUGGCACGUUAGUAACUUACUGUACAGUACUGUAGUACAGUGUAUUGUAACAUGGAAUUUGUGGGUAUGGUUUAGUAUUAAUAAUUUAUAUACCAGUAGUUAUUUUACUAAACAAUUCUCUUAUCUCACUUUUACAAGCAAAUAUUUACUAUACUAGA